UACGGAGGAUGCAAGCGUUAUCCGGAAUGAUUGGGCGUAAAGCGUCCGCAGGUGGCUGUGUAAGUCUGCUGUUAAAUAGUGAGGCUCAACCUCAUAAAGGCAGUGGAAACUACACGGCUAGAGUGCGUUCGGGGCAGAGGGAAUUCCUGGUGUAGCUGUGAAAUGCGUAGAGAUCAGGAAGAACACCGGUGGCGAAAGCGCUCUGCUAGGCCGCAACUGACACUGAGGGACGAAAGCUAGGGGAGCGAAUGGG
rnacentral:rRNA from 1 species